UACGAAGGGGGCUAGCGUUGCUCGGAAUCACUGGGCGUAAAGGGCGCGUAGGCGGACAGCUAAGUCAGGGGUGAAAUCCCGAGGCUCAACCUCGGAAUUGCCCUUGAUACUGGUUGUCUUGAGAUCGGAAGAGGUAAGUGGAAUUGCGAGUGUAGAGGUGAAAUUCGUAGAUAUUCGCAGGAACACCAGUGGCGAAGGCGACUUACUGGUCCGUAUCUGACGCUGAGGCGCGAAAGCGUGGGGAGCAAACAGG
rnacentral:rRNA from 1 species